ensembl:lncRNA
CAAACCUGUACAAAUGCUCAGAGAAUUUCAGCAAACCAAGAUAUUGAAAGAAUUGUGAAUAAUCAGCAGUAGUGUCAUGGAGUAUGUUGGGCUUCUACCACACCCACUUUAGAAAUAUGAAAACUGAUCUCCUAAGAAGGCAUUUUUGAAGGCACUCAGAUGCUCAAUGGCCGAAAUCAGAGUAGAAUGCAGGCAGGCAGUUUUCCUGUCAGAUACCACAGAGAGUGAAUGCUUUGAAUAUAUUCCUUUGGAUAUACUGAGCAAUUUUCAACAGCAAUUAUUUAAAAUAUUUAUUAAAAAUUUUAGGAAAAAAUUUGUCUCCCCAAAAGUGUGUAGCAGACAGAGUAAACUCAACAGCAGAGAGGAUAGAAGAAAGGGGAUUCUGAGCUUCUGAGUCAUCCUCAGUGGAGAUGGAGAGAUGUCAGUUCCCAGGUCUCCCUGGACCUAUGAGAUGUUGUGUUAAUCCAACAGUCAGAAGAGGAAGUACCCCUGUACCAUCUGAACGCAGCCUGUACUCUGGUUUCCAGCAAACAAAGGUGGAUUAAGUGCAUUAAUAACAGGUGGCCUUUGAGUCCCUUUCCGUUCAUUACUGAGGCUCAUUGCAACUCUAGGAAAGGAUCUUAAUUGUUUUCUUUCUUUGGAGACAUAUGCCAGUGCCCACAUUUUUUCCAUUUCCAUUUCAUCUCAUAAAUCACAGCAAGUACUAUGAUUUGGAAGCAGCAUAGAGCAUAAGCUGAAUGUUUAUGUGCCAUUGCUUUGCUCAUAAAACCUUUACUAAUUACUAAUGAGGCCAAUAAAUUUAAGAUUGGG